AAGGUAUGACUAAGAGCAUAUUCUACUUAUUCUUUACUUUUUAGUCAAUUCUAAAAUUAUUAAUUAUUAAUAACUAGAACAUGAUAAGACAUAGGCUUUGUAAAAUUAUUCAUGUUCUUUUUAAGAAAAGACUAGAUUUUAUAUAUGGUUGCACACAUAGUUUUAUUCUAAUACAGUAGAUUUGAUAUUGAUAAGAAACUUGAAUAACUUUUUAACCAGAUUGAGAUGACUAUAUUUAAUUCACAAACACUUGAUAUGUUUAUUGACCAGGUUCACAUGGAAGGUGUUGUUAGAACUGUUGAUUUAACUGAUUUUGAUGGAUACAAUCACAUGAUCCUUGAACUAGAAAAACUCUUUAAUAUCGAAGGCAAGUUGCAUAUGCACAGUCAAUGGAAACUAACCUUUAAAGUUCAUGAAGGAGAUAUGAUGCUUGUUGGAGACGAUUUAUGGCUGUAAGUUUCCUCUUUCUUCUUCUCUCAAUUUAUUCUUCUUCUCUCAAUGUUUGGGAAAAUAAGAAACUUAAUGUGUUUUUGAUUCUGUGUAGGAAAUUUUGCAACACCGUGAAGGAAAUAUUCAUAUGUUCAAAAUAAGAUGCCAUAAAAUGAAAUUUGAGAACCAAUUCUCUAAAGGUGACUCAGCAUUUACAAAAAUAAUUUCACCGUCCGAUGUCGAGACAGUCAAAAAGGGGUUUUGUUACUUUUAGUGUGUUUUUAUAUAAUACUAGGGUUUGAUCUCUGUUCACCCAGAUAUUUUACUUUUAUUUAACAUUUGUGUUUAACUUGAAGAGUUUGGUUUUAUAUUAUGUGUGAUAUUUAUUAUUGUGAUUGCUCUUCUUUACUUUUAUCAACUCUUUUCAUUGAACUUAUUUGUUAUAAGGAGAUUAAGACUCAGUUUUGUUGUGUUUACUAAAUUGCCUUAUACAAUUACUGAGAUAGUUUGAAUGGGACUAUGUUCUGUUUUUAUUUUGGCGAUAGAAAUUUUAAUCAUUUUCUUAUUUUAAAUCAUCUAGUUUCAUGUCUGCUCUUAUUUGUUUUUGGUAAGUUGUUUUAUAUUGCAUUCUUUCGAAUUGUGCAACUAUAUAUUUUUAUUUCCAUAUCAAUAUUGGAAUUAUGGUUGAGUUUUUUUUUUUGAAUUAUGUAUGUUACCUUACAAUUUAUUUCUAUACAAUAACUGUAGAUCUCUUAUUUCUGUCAUGUAAACAAACUUUUAGUUUGUUUUGUAGUACUAACAUAUGGUUAUUAACAUUUACCAACUAAGCUAAUGGAGAUUUUAGUCAAAAAUAGUUGAAAUAUUACAUAUUAUUUUCAAGGCUGGAAGCGCAUGCUACCCCAGCUUCUAUCCAGGGCCGACACUGCUUACAUCGUGAUGAAAAUCUUGUGAACAAGAUCGGAGAUAUUUCUAAAUACAUGAACGUUUAAGUGGAAGAGUUGUGUAAGAGAGUUGACGUGCUCACCAGGCUUCACUAUGCCUCAUCAAAAUCAAUGCCAUAAGCUCUGUUCUUUUUUUUUUAAUUUAUGCUUCUUGAGUUUAAAGUCUUUUGAUUUGUUAGCAUCAUCUUCUGAAUGGAUUUAGGUAUUGGCUUUUGUAAUAACUUGGCUAUGUUGUUUUGUUUCUUAAUCAAACCGACUCUGUUUUUAGUCCUUUACAUAGAGAAUCAUGAAGAUAUAAAACAUAAUUGUGAAUAUUGUUAUUGAGAUAUGUAUAUAUUUAGUUAAGAAAUCUAGGUUUAACGUUUA